rnacentral:lncRNA from 1 species
CUGGAUGAGAAACUGACCCUCCACCGUUGGGAAGCAGUUGGGCAGCAGAAGCAGGGGUCUGCAUUGAGGCUGUAUUAGCUUUGGAAGCAGCAGUAAUAGCUGCUAUCUGAGCAAGGGCAGCCUGCUGUGAGAUGUCUCCCCCUGCCUUUCGAAUACCUUCAUCUUCAUCUUCUGAAUCAGACUUGUCAUCCUCAAAACCAUAUUCUUUUGCCUGCGCUUUCUUUGCCGCUCUUCUAACUUCAUCUUCCUCUUCAUUAAAUUUAAAUCCACUUCCUCCAUAACCAGUUCCAUGCGCUUGCUCUA